GGGCUGUGACUCAGGGGCAGAGCAGCUGCCUUGCAUGUAGAAGGUCCCAGGGUCAAUUCCUGACAGCAUCU